rnacentral:rRNA from 1 species
AUACGGAGGUUGCAAGCGUUAAUCGGAAUUACUGGGCGUAAAGCGCGCGUAGGCGGUUUAGUAAGUCGGAUGUGAAAGCCCUGGGCUCAACCUGGGAAUUGCAUUCGAUACUGCUUGACUAGAGUAUGGUAGAGGGAAGUGGAAUUUCCGGUGUAGCGGUGAAAUGCGUAGAUAUCGGAAGGAACACCAGUGGCGAAGGCGACUUCCUGGGCCAAUACUGACGCUGAGGUGCGAAGGCGUGGGGAGCAAACAGGAUUAGAAACCCCAGUAGUCC